rnacentral:rRNA from 1 species
UGCCAGCAGCCGCGGUAAUACAGAGGGUGCGAGCGUUAAUCGGAAUGACUGGGCGUAAAGGGUGCGUAGGCGGUUUAUCAAGUCAGAUGUGAAAUCCCCGGGCUCAACCCUGGAAUGGCAUUUGAAACGGGUAGACUCGAGUUGGGUAGAGGGAAGCGGAAUUUCCGGUGUAGCGGUGAAAUGCGUAGAUAUCGGAAGGAACAUCAGAGGCGAAGGCGACUUUCUGGGCUGUUUCUGACGCUGAGGUGCGAAGGCGUGGGUAGCGAACAGGAUUAGAUA